GAUGAACGCUGGCGGCGUGCCUAAUACAUGCAAGUCGAGCGAACAGAUGAGGAGCUUGCUCCUCUGACGUUAGCGGCGGACGGGUGAGUAACACGUGGAUAACCUACCUAUAAGACUGGGAUAACUUCGGGAAACCGGAGCUAAUACCGGAUAAUAUAUUGAACCGCAUGGUUCAAUAGUGAAAGACGGUUUUGCUGUCACUUAUAGAUGGAUCCGCGCCGCAUUAGCUAGUUGGUAAGGUAACGGCUUACCAAGGCAACGAUGCGUAGCCGACCUGAGAGGGUGAUCGGCCACACUAGAACUGAGACACGGUCCAGACUCCUACGGGAGGCAGCAGUAGGGAAUCUUCCGCAGUGGGCGAAAGCCUGACGGAGCAACGCCGCGUGAGUGAUGAAGGUCUUCGGAUCGUAAAACUCUGUUAUUAGGGAAGAACAAAUGUGUAAGUAACUAUGCACGUCUUGACGGUACCUAAUCAGAAAGCCACGGCUAACUACGU
rnacentral:rRNA from 1 species